rnacentral:rRNA from 1 species
AGAGAGAGACAUGGCGCGCAUAUCAAUAAGCGGAGGAAAAGAAACUAACAAGGAUUCCCCUAGUAACGGCGAGUGAAGCGGGAAGAGCUCAAAUUUGAAAUCUUAAAGGGUUUCCCUUUACGAAUUGUAGUUUAAAGAAGUGUUUUCUGUUGAGGUUUUGGUAAAAGUUCUUUGGAAUAGGACAUCAUAGAGGGUGAGAAUCCCGUAUUUGACCUUUACUUUCAACUUUGUGAUACACUUUCAAGGAGUCGGAUUGUUUGGGAAUGCAGUCCAAAAUGGGUGGUAAAUUUCAUCUAAAGCUAAAUAUUGGCGAGAGACCGAUAGCGAACAAGUACCGUGAGGGAAAGAUGAAAAGAACUUUGAAAAGAGAGUUAAACAGUACGUGAAAUUGUCAAAAGGGAAGCGUUUGACACCAGUGUUGUUUUUCUGAAAAUCAAUUAAAGAACUGUUUAUGCUAAGUUGUUUAGACUUUAUCAGCUAUCUGUUUAGUUUUGAGCUUUUCUUUAAUGCACUUUUCAGUUAACAAGUCAACAUCAAUUUCUUUUGCUGUAAAAAAGCUUGAGGAAGGUGGCUUGAGAUUCGUCUUAAGUGUUUAUAGCCUCUUGCCUAUGCAGUCGGAGAGAUUGAGGUCUGCAGCGUAGAUCCUUCGGGGCUAAAUGCAUUUGUGCUAAGUUAUAGCAUUUUAUAGACAACUUGUUGACUAUGAUUUGUCUUGUAGCUUACUCGCUUAUGUUAUUUUACCUACGCUUAGGAUGUUGACGCAUGAGAUAUACGC